rnacentral:tRNA from 1 species
GCCUUCGUGGUGAAAUGGUAGCUUACUCGGCGCGUAUUCGAGAAGUCAAGGGUUCGAGUCCCGGCGAGGGCA